GAAAUGCGAUAACUAGUGUGAAUUGCAGAAUUCCGUGAAUCAUCGAGUCUUUGAACGCACAUUGCGCCCCCCUGGUAUUCCGGGGGGCAUGCCUGUCCGAGCGUCAUUGCUGCCCAUCAAGCACGGCUUGUGUGUUGGGUCGUCGUCCCCUCUCCGGGGGGGACGGGCCCCAAAGGCAGCGGCGGCACCGCGUCCGAUCCUCGAGCGUAUGGGGCUUUGUCACCCGCUCUGUAGGCCCGGCCGGCGCUUGCCGAACGCAAAUCAAUCUUUUUCCAGGUUGACCUCGGAUCAGGUAGGGAUACCCGCUGAACUUAAGC
rnacentral:misc_RNA from 1 species